rnacentral:rRNA from 1 species
UACGGAGGUUGCAAGCGUUGUUCGGAUUCACUGGGCGUAAAGGGAGCGCAGGCGGUCGAGUAAGUCUAAAGUGAAAUCCCGAGGCUCAACCUCGGACGUGCUUUGGAUACUGCUUGACUUGAGUACGUGAGAGGUAGGCGGAAUUCCAGGUGUAGCGGUGAAAUGCGUAGAUAUCUGGAGGAACACCGGUGGCGAAAGCGGCCUACUGGCACGAAACUGACGCUGAGGCUCGAAAGCGUGGGGAGCGAACGGG